rnacentral:rRNA from 1 species
GUGGGGAAUAUUGGACAAUGGGCGGAAGCCUGAUCCAGCCAUGCCGCGUGUGUGAAGAAGGUCUUCGGAUUGUAAAGCACUUUAAGUUGGGAGGAAGGGCAGUAAGCUAAUACCUUGCUGUUUUGACGUUACCGACAGAAUAAGCACCGGCUAACUUCGUGCCAGCAGCCGCGGUAAUACGAAGGGUGCAAGCGUUAAUCGGAAUUACUGGGCGUAAAGCGCGCGUAGGUGGUUCAGCAAGUUGGAGGGGAAAUCCCCGGGCUCAACCUGGGAACUGCCUCCAAAACUACUGAGCUAGAGUACGGUAGAGGGUAGUGGAAUUUCCUGUGUAGCGGUGAAAUGCGUAGAUAUAGGAAGGAACACCAGUGGCGAAGGCGACUACCUGGACUGAUACUGACACUGAGGUGCGAAAGCGUGGGGAGCAAACAGGAUUAGAAACCCUAGUAGUCC